GGAGCUGCUGCUGGGAGCUGCUGUGGCACAGAUGGACCUGCUUCAGCGUGCUCUGGGCCUGUAUUCAGAUGUCACGGGGGAAUCUGCUUCCUUAUGGAUGGGGACUCCACCACUGCUCCUGAGCAGCGUGAUCCAGGGCUUGAAAACCCUCUUGGAGAAGAAAUUGUUGCUCGCAUCCAACUUCAACCUCCGUCACUGGUAAGAGUGCAAAUCUCUGCAGGUUUUAUGGUGUUGACUGUCCUGUGUAUGCACACAAGCUGAGAAGGUCAGUGCUACCAAGGUCAUAUGGGAAACUAUGCAAAGGCAUCACCAAAACUCAUCACUAAUGUGACAAGAGGAAACUAUUUUCUCACCAUGGCAGCUAUCAUACUGGGAGUCCAUCCAGCUGGACCAGCAGGAGUUCACAAGCAGAACAUUAAACACUAUAACGAAGAGUUAUAGAGAUGUUUUAGUUUGCUUAAUAAUUGUGUUCCCUGAAUGGAGAUGUGGUCACUAUAUAUGUGUCCCUGGAGACUUUCAAAACCUGUUUGUAUCCAUUCCUGUGCAACAUGAUCUAGAGGUACCUGCAUUAGCAGGAGGGCUGGACUAUAUGAUCUCCAGCGGUCCCUUCCAAUUCUAUGACUCUAAGAGAAGCUAUUAUACAUUGACCUGCAUGUGAUAACAGAUGCCACAAUGCAUUUGGGAUCAUCUUCAUGGUUCCACAUCAUUCAACCUCCCCAUGAAGACAGAGACAACAGAAAGUGCAGUAGAUGCAAUGUUAAGAGCACAGAACUGGACACUCUGGAUGCUUUCAGAUUUUCUUGUUACUGAAUCAUUUUCAUGGGAAGUGAGGAACCAGUCCACUUGUGUUCUGUGCAACAUUUCUCAUGUAAUGUCAACCUUCAGAGACCUUGCAGCCCAACAAUCUUAAUAAAAUACAGUGAUGGUUAAUGGCUCUGGAAGUUGACACAGCAAUGGGCUGGACAAAGUGUUGUAGAAUAUGAUAUUUCUUCAACCUUUCAAAUGCUUUUACUGAGCAAUGUGAAUUUGGGACUAAUUCCCACCUGUGGAAACAAAACACCGUAAUGAUAGCUUAGUUUUAUU